rnacentral:rRNA from 1 species
AGCGAACGCUGGCGGCAGGCCUAACACAUGCAAGUCGAACGAAGUCUUCGGACUUAGUGGCGGACGGGUGAGUAACACGUGGGAACGUACCUUUUGGUUCGGAACAACUCAGGGAAACUUGAGCUAAUACCGGAUGAGCCCUUAGGGGGAAAGAUUUAUCGGCGAGAAGAGCGGCCCGCGUUAGAUUAGCUAGUUGGUGAGGUAAAGGCUCACCAAUGCUACGAUCUAUAGCUGGUCUGAGAGGAUGAUCAGCCACACUGGGACUGAGACACGGACCAGACUGCUACGGGAGGCAGCAGUGGGGAAUCUUGCGCAAUGGGCGAAAGCUUGACGCAGCCAUGCCGCGUGAAUGAUGAAGGUCUUAGGAUUGUAAAAUUCUUUUACCAGGGACGAUAAUGACGGUACCUGGAGAAAAAGCCCCGGCUAACUUCGUGCCAGCAGCCGCGGUAACAC